GACGAACCGUGCGAACGUUGUUCGGAAUCACUGGGCUUAAAGGGCGCGUAGGCGGUCACGCACGUCCGGGGUGAAAUCUUUCGGCUUAACCGGAAAAGGGCCCUGGAUACGGCGUGACUGGAGGGGGAGAGGGGCGGACGGAACUUCCGGUGGAGCGGUGAAAUGCGUUGAUAUCGGAAGGAACGCCGGUGGCGAAAGCGGUCCGCUGGAUCCCUACUGACGCUGAGGCGCGAAAGCCAGGGGAGCAAACGGG
rnacentral:rRNA from 1 species